AGAGUUUGAUCAUGGCUCAGAUUGAACGCUGGCGGCAGGCCUAACACAUGCAAGUCGAACGGUAACAGGAAGCAGCUUGCUGCUUUGCUGACGAGUGGCGGACGGGUGAGUAAUGUCUGGGAAACUGCCUGAUGGAGGGGGAUAACUACUGGAAACGGUGGCUAAUACCGCAUAACGUCGCAAGACCAAAGAGGGGGACCUUCGGGCCUCUUGCCAUCAGAUGUGCCCAGAUGGGAUUAGCUUGUUGGUGAGGUAACGGCUCACCAAGGCGACGAUCCCUAGCUGGUCUGAGAGGAUGACCAGCCACACUGGAACUGAGACACGGUCCAGACUCCUACGGGAGGCAGCAGUGGGGAAUAUUGCACAAUGGGCGCAAGCCUGAUGCAGCCAUGCCGCGUGUAUGAAGAAGGCCUUCGGGUUGUAAAGUACUUUCAGCGGGGAGGAAGGUGUUGUGGUUAAUAACCGCAGCAAUUGACGUUACCCGCAGAAGAAGCACCGGCUAACUCCGUGCCAGCAGCCGCGGUAAUACGGAGGGUGCAAGCGUUAAUCGGAAUUACUGGGCGUAAAGCGCACGCAGGCGGUCUGUCAAGUCGGAUGUGAAAUCCCCGGGCUCAACCUGGGAACUGCAUUCGAAACUGGCAGGCUUGAGUCUUGUAGAGGGGGGUAGAAUUCCAGGUGUAGCGGUGAAAUGCGUAGAGAUCUGGAGGAAUACCGGUGGCGAAGGCGGCCCCCUGGACAAAGACUGACGCUCAGGUGCGAAAGCGUGGGGAGCAAACAGGAUUAGAUACCCUGGUAGUCCACGCCGUAAACGAUGUCUACUUGGAGGUUGUGCCCUUGAGGCGUGGCUUCCGGAGCUAACGCGUUAAGUAGACCGCCUGGGGAGUACGGCCGCAAGGUUAAAACUCAAAUGAAUUGACGGGGGCCCGCACAAGCGGUGGAGCAUGUGGUUUAAUUCGAUGCAACGCGAAGAACCUUACCUGGUCUUGACAUCCACAGAACUUUCCAGAGAUGGAUUGGUGCCUUCGGGAACUGUGAGACAGGUGCUGCAUGGCUGUCGUCAGCUCGUGUUGUGAAAUGUUGGGUUAAGUCCCGCAACGAGCGCAACCCUUAUCCUUUGUUGCCAGCGGUCCGGCCGGGAACUCAAAGGAGACUGCCAGUGAUAAACUGGAGGAAGGUGGGGAUGACGUCAAGUCAUCAUGGCCCUUACGACCAGGGCUACACACGUGCUACAAUGGCGCAUACAAAGAGAAGCGACCUCGCGAGAGUAAGCGGACCUCAUAAAGUGCGUCGUAGUCCGGAUUGGAGUCUGCAACUCGACUCCAUGAAGUCGGAAUCGCUAGUAAUCGUGGAUCAGAAUGCCACGGUGAAUACGUUCCCGGGCCUUGUACACACCGCCCGUCACACCAUGGGAGUGGGUUGCAAAAGAAGUAGGUAGCUUAACCUUCGGGAGGGCGCUUACCACUUUGUGAUUCAUGACUGGGGUGAAGUCGUAACAAGGUAACCGUAGGGGAACCUGCGGUUG
rnacentral:rRNA from 1 species